AAGUCGUAACAAGGUUUCCGUAGGUGAACCUGCGGAAGGAUCAUUAAAACGUAUCCAACGUUAACUAAUUGCGAACUCGUCUCUCCUUUGGUAUUUAGAAAUUGGAGCUGUGAAAGGUUUGUUUGAGAUCUUUAACUAGGUCGGCUUUUCACAGUCACUGGCACUUUCGGGUGUCGACAAGAGUAUUUUAUCAAAGCUAUUCUUCUUUCUCUGGCUUUCAUUCAGGCUAGGUUGGGGGAGCUCUAUAUCAUAAACCCUUAUCACCCUUUUUUGCUAGUUGACUUUUUUAAUGUUAAUUUUUACGAAAGUAGAGAUUACACGUUUCAUUAUUUGAACGUAAAAUACAACUCUUAGCAAUGGAUAUCUAGGUUCUC
rnacentral:misc_RNA from 1 species